UGCUACAAGUGAUGGUCCAUCGGAUCCAAAUCAGGAAGGAUUGUCGUUAUCAGUAUUUUCUUCCGUUGAAUCGAAAAAUCCGCCGAAAAAGAGAAAACGGAUCGAAAACAUUAUGGAAGAAUUUUUGGAUAAUAUUGCGGCAGAAAAAGAAGAAAAAAAAGAAGAAAUGAAAAAACGAGAAACAAACAGAGAAAAGAUCCGUGAAGAAAAUAGAAAUAAACGUGACAGAAGACAUAACGAGCAAAUGGACGUACAGAAGUCAUUAAUUUCUGUAUUGCAACAAUUUCUUCACAAAAUGUAAUUUGUAUUCUUCUAAGUUUGUAAGAAAUAAGUUCAAUUAUGUUCAUUAAGCGUUCUUUGUCGAAACGUUGAAAGUUGUUUAUUUUAUUUUAAGUUAUUUUAUAUUAAGUAAUUUAUUUUACUUACGAAUUUUAAGUUUGGAUGUUAAUCCUCAAAGUUGAAUGUUAUAAUUUUGUUUUGUUCACAAUUUAUAAUACACAAAUGUAAGACUGAAUAGAAAUUAAGACUGAAUAGGAAUAAAACCAAAAACUAAAUAU